rnacentral:rRNA from 1 species
UACGUAGGGUGCAGGCGUUAAUCGGAAUUACUGGGCGUAAAGCGUACGCAGGCGGUUUGCUAAGACAGGUGUGAAAUCCCCGAGCUUAACUUGGGAAUUGCGCUCGAAACUACGGAGCUGGAGUGUGGCAGAGGAAGGUGGAAUUCCACGUGUAGCGGUGAAAUGCGUAGAUAUGUGGAGGAACACCGAUGGCGAAGGCAGCCUUCUGGGCCAACACUGACGCUCAUGCACGAAAGCGUGGGGAGCAAACAGG